rnacentral:rRNA from 1 species
UGUAUACCGCAUAGUAUCUGUGGAUUAAAGGUGGCUUUUGGGCUGUCGCAGAUGGAUGAGCCUGCGUUGGAUUAGCUAGUUGGUGGGGUAAGGGCUUACCAAGGCUACGAUCCAUAGCUGAUUUGAGAGGAUGAUCAGCCACAUUGGGACUGAGACACGGCCCAAACUCCUACGGGAGGCAGCAGUGAGGAAUAUUGGACAAUGGGGGCAACCCUGAUCCAGCAAUGCCAUGUGUGUGAAGAAGGCCUUAGGGUUGUAAAGCACUUUAGUUGGGGAAGAAAGCUUUGAGGUUAAUAGCCUUGAGGAAGGACGUUACCCAAAGAAUAAGCACCGGCUAACUCCGUGCCAGCAGCCGCGGUAAUACGGGGGGUGCAAGCGUUAAUCGGAAUUACUGGGCGUAAAGGGUCUGUAGGUGGUUUGUUAAGUCAGAUGUGAAAGCCCAGGGCUCAACCUUGGAACUGCAUUUGAUACUGGCAAACUAGAGUACGGUAGAGGAAUGGGGAAUUUCUGGUGUAGCGGUGAAAUGCGUAGAGAUCAGAAGGAACACCAAUGGCGAAGGCAACAUUCUGGACCGAUACUGACACUGAGGGACGAAAGCGUGGGGAUCAAACAGGAUUAGAUACCCUGGUAGUCCAUGCUGUAAACGAUGAGUACUAGCUGUUGGAGUCGGUGUAAAGGCUCUAGUGGCGCAGCUAACGCGAUAAGUACUCCGCCUGGGGACUACGGCCGCAAGGCUAAAACUCAAAGGAAUUGACGGGGACCCGCACAAGCGGUGGAGCAUGUGGUUUAAUUCGAUGCAACGCGAAGAACCUUACCUGGUCUUGACAUCCUGCGAGCUUUCUAGAGAUAGAUUGGUGCCUUCGGGAACGCAGUGACAGGUGCUGCACGGCUGUUGUCAGCUCGUGUUGUGAAAUGUUGGGUUAAGUCCCGCAACGAGCGCAACCCCUAUUGAUAGUUACCAUCAUUAAGUUGGGUACUCUAUUGAGACUGCCGCUGACAAGGCGGAGGAAGGUGGGGACGACGUCAAGUCAUCAUGGCCCUUACGACCAGGGCUACACACGUGCUACAAUGGUAUACAGA